UGGAAAGGUAGGCCGGCAGAAUCAAGAUUAAAUGUUAGAUUUAUAUAGUGUCAAUUUUACUUACCGUCUAUUUGGAUCCGUCGUCCUAGCAACAUAUUGAUAAAAAACCUCGCUCCUGGACGUGUUUUGCGAUGGGUAAAACAAACGACAUAAAAUCUUCAACGAAUUCUACAAUGGUAUCCAAUAUUACAAGGGAAAACGUACAGAAGACAACCAAAUAUCCCAGCUUGGUCGAUCUUGAUGUUGUAUCGCAUCCUUGCUCCACUCGGACGAGUUCUACGGCAAUUUUUUAUUACGACGGUGCACGUAUUUCCUCGGAGCACAAUUACGUAGACAACGCACGGUUCAUAGAAUUACCAACAGAAAACGAUAGUUUAACCGUUUGUCGGUCCGAAAACAUAUAAAGAACUCAAUAUUAAUUCGACGUUUUUAACAAACGACACAAGUUUCGAAGCAGCUACCAAUAACGAUACCUCAAAAUAUGAACACCAGAUAGUCGUCAAUAAUCCUACUGGCAAGUAUUAACAAGUGUCGCUCAAAUACGUUUUAUUUAUUU